rnacentral:miRNA from 10 species
AGAGCUCCAGUUAAAUUUGAAUUUCAGAUGAACAAGAAAAACUUUUUUAGUAUAAGUAGAUCCCAUAUAUUGGAUGGGACAUACUUAUACUAAAAAGUUAUUCAUUGCUUAUCUGAAAUUCAAAUUAAC